rnacentral:lncRNA from 1 species
CGGAGCACAGCGCCCGCGCCCCGCGCCCGGGCGGAGCAGCCAGCCCUUACCUUGCAGCGCCUGGGUCUGCCCGCUCGCUAAAGCUACUUAUCCCGGGAAAGCUCUCGUGGGGCCCAGGAGCGAACCCACAGACAAAAAGUGAAACUUCGGCAGGGCUGGAGCGGCUGCUGUAACCCACUUAUAAAGAAUAAUAGGGUUCUAAUGAGGAUUAAUAAAAUUUAAUAAGGUAUAAUUAGAGACCUUCAUUUCUUCCAUCAUACACCUUAUAAGAGCUGUACUGGAUCCAGAAAUGCUGCUAAUUGUGUUGAAACUGUUGUAUGGGUGUACUGGAGAAGAUCACUAUGAUUCUCCUGUGAGAUGUGAUUCUCCUGCGAGAUGCAUGAACUGCUCAGUAGGACAGUACCAGUCUGUGCUGUAAACCAGCCUCUGGAGGGUGUGAACUGGAGCCCAGCAGAUGGCAUCAGCCUUGGAACAGAGGUGAAACUUGAUAUGGUGAACUGUCAGUAGAGGGCUUUUUGUAAAUGGAGCAUUAAAGGUAAUGGAAAAGCUUACAAAAGUUUAUUCUCUGUUCUUCACACCUCAUGAUACAAUGGAGGGG